AAUAUACGUUCUUCUAACACCCCUUUCAAAUUUGUUGCCGCUUCAAUGUCAGAAAGUAGCUUAUAAGCAAUUGAUUUGCCUUUAUCUUUUGUCUUUGUUGUUUUUUCUCCCAAUGAUGUUGAGGUGUCCUUUACAGGCAAUUCUUGUGAAGCUGCCUCCUGAGCCUUGUCUCCUCGAGUUUGCCUCUUAAAAGAAUUUCCUUCUCUAGUAUCAUCAAAAUUUCCUCGUCUUUUUUCUUCCAUCAAAGCUUCAUGUUGGCUCUUAGCAAUAUAUGCAUGAACUGAAAGAGACUCAACAGGAUCCUCCCAACCUGUUCUUCCUCAUAUUGUAGCUGCAGUUCUCAAUAACGCUUCUCGAGGUAAUUUCCCUUCUUGCAUUCUAAAAACGGCAGAAGCUUAAAACUCACUAGUUUCCGUACUUCCACCAAUUUCAUCAUCUACUCUAGCACCAUAACUUGCACUUUCUCGUGCUACUGUUUCAUGCUCUUUUAAGUAAUCUUGAACCAAUGCUCUCAUUAUUCCCUUGCCAAAAUUGGUUUGAAGAAGAUCCUCUCUGUUUUUCAAUGCUAUCUUCCCAUCUUUCCAGCAAAUAAUUCCCUGCCGUAUCAUAUUAUUAAAUUCAUUGCAAUCUUUUCUAGUGUGUGAAGCAUCAUCAUACCAAAUGCAUCUUUGUACAUAUCCUUGUUUUUGAAACAUUCUUCGAAUUAUUUAUAGAAGUAUUCUCUUCAAGUCUUGCCAAUUUGAUUUGAAGAUCUCGCAUUCCUCGUAUAAUUUCUUCCAUGCCCAUAUCUGCGUUCUUUGACAAGGAUGUCGAAGGUUGAACUGUAGGCAUUGUUGGUGGUGUUGUAUGUAUUGGAGCUUUGGGUGCUUGUACUAUUUUUGGAAUAUUGCUCCUAUCCUUCUUCUUUUAUUUUUUUGUAAGCAACCCCAACACAUCUUCAACGUUCUUCCACUUCGUUGUCAAUCCUUCAUCUUCUUCUUUGUCUUCAAGAAGGGGUUCUAAUUUCUCUUGCAAUUCUCCAUCAGCAGCUUGAAGAAAUAGAUCAACUUUCUUCGGCUCCAAUGUCAAUUUUUCUACCUUCGAUAAUUGAGAGUAUUGCCUCUCAAAUUCCCUUAGUAGCUCUGUUGCUUGUAAAUUCUUAUUGGGCCGUUCAAUCCAUCCCAGAAACAGCUUCUUAGUAAGCCGAUCAGCAUCUUCUAAGAAAUAUUUGUCUUUCAAUGCAUGUGAAAAAUCCUCCCAUAAAUUCCCACAACGAUCCGUAAUCGAUGUAAUAUGGUUCUUUAUCUCCGGUAUCAUGGUAAGUCCAAAUAGUGCAACCAUUUUCUUCUCAGAAACCCGAUUUAAUUCCAUUUCACGAACAUAACAUCUUAAAUACCUUGAAAUAUUCCUCCCAUCAAAUUGAUCAAUUUUAUUGACCACUGCUUGCAAUGCUUUGGUUGCCAAAGCUUCCUUUCGAUCAUUGCUUUGCUAUUGCUGCAUUGACAAUGAGAAGGCUUGAAACAAACUAGCAAUAGAUGGAUCCAUGUGCAUACCUUGUCCUUUAGAAGACUCCCAGCAGAAACUUCUCUCAAAAAUCCUUCAAAAUUUUUAUUUUCGUUUUCCAUAAAAUAAAGAUAAAAUCAACCAAAAUCCAAUACCUUCUACCUCAAGCUUUCACGUCGGAUUCACCACUUUUGUCGUAUUACGUGCUUUCCUGCUCGAGAACAUGCCGGGCGUCUGGCUGUAGAAGGUAGUAUGGAGAUUCGCCGAUAGUCAAGCAGUCUACCAGUUUUGACUGCUGGAAUAUAAACGACUGUAAUAAUGUACCGUAAAUCUAUACGGAUGCUCUUCGACUGCUUGUCGAAGUCCUUUUUGCCCCAGCCGGUAGGUCUCUAGACGUUACAAAGAACCCCGAACAACCCAAACAUUUAAUCUUCAAUACCGCUGUCGUAUUACGUGCUUUCCUACUCGAGAACGCGCCAGGCGUCUGGCUGUAGAAGGUAGUAUUGAGAUUUGCCGAUAGUCAAGCCCUCUAUCAGUUUUUGACUGCAGGAAUAUAAAUGACUGCAACAAUGUACCGUAAAUCUAUACAGAUGCUCUUUGACUACUUGUCAAAGUCUUUUAUUUGCCCCAGCCGAUAGGUCUCUAAACGUUACAGAGAACCCCGAACAACCCAAACUGUUAAUCUUCAAUACCCCUUUGUACUUACGAUCUUGUAUCCAGUGACUGUCCUGUUAGAUUAACCCAAUAAAUUUCAUUCACUCCGCAUACUCAAUCCUAUAGACACCCCUUUAAUCCUUCAAUCACAGACGUAACUCGAUUUUACAAAACAGUCAAGAGUAUUCAAACCCACUUCAUUUAAAAAUCUCGAUUCACCAUUACAACACUGACUUCAGCAGCGAUUGCCUUAGUCUUCCCAAAACUCCUUGAAGAAGAAAAAUCCAAAUUCUAUGUCUUUCCUUUCCCAACCUGAAGCAUGAAGCUCCUCUCUCUAAUUCCCUUGAUCUUCAAAAAACCUCCAAUGAAACCGAACUGGUAACCUUGCAAAAGCUUGAAAACUAGCUCCCCCCCGAUUCCCCAACAGAAAAAAACCUCUCCCCUCAAAACUAUAUCCCCACUAACCUUAUCCUCUGAAUUUCUUCAAUCUUCUGUCUUAGAUCCGGAAUUGGCUCCCACCAUCAAGCUUGGAUCCAAAAUUGGCUCUCGCCGUCAAAGCUUUCUCCUCCGUUUUUACCUUUAAGAAAUCCAUUUACCAAAAACAACGUUCCCUGAAACGGCACAGAGAACAGGACAGCCUGAAACAGAAUCGAACCCCGUAAUCAGGACGACAUUGAGUCGCCCGACCAAUUCAGGUCCUAUAUUGGGAAAGAUGCCGUGGUAACCUGGAUGUUCCCGUAAUUAGGUCAAAUUGGUCCUCGCGUCAGAUUGGCUAAGACCCGUAGUAAGACCUGGAUUUCCCAUAAUUAGACUACAUUGGGUUGACCGGCCAAUUCAGGUCUCAUAUUAGGUAAGAGGACCCGGAUUGGAUUAUCGAAAUUGGAUCCAAUUGGCUCCUCGAAUCCGUCGUGUGAAUUGGUCCUUCUCUUCCUGCUGACUUCCGUUAUUGGAAUCGAAUGGAGUAUUUCAAUAUGCCCCGGCUGACUGUAACGGGGUGAGUGAACCUGACCACUCAGUAUUUGUACAGGAAUUGGUCGAUGCUCCCAAUAUUUGAGGUAACUAAAUAUUAAUGAAAUUCCCCUUUCUUUUUAUUUUCACUAUAUACUCGUGUUACAACACGACAUCCACCCCCUCUAAACUUGUGCAUCGUCCGGUAUACACCAAUUUAUCCAAUUGCGGUUUGAUUCAGAAUAUAUCCCCUACGUCUUUGUCGAGUUCGUCUUCGUCACCUUCAUUAUCCAAAUCACUUUCAUCUUCUUGCUGCGGAAUCUCUGUACCUUCAUUAAGGUCUUUCAUAUUCAUCUCUGUGUGUCUUCGUUUAAAUAUUUUUACUCGCUUCCCUGCAAUUGGUAUUUUCAAUUUUGUACCAUCUAACUCCCGUACUGAGUAAGUUGCAUUAUCAUGAACAGUUGUUACAACAUAUGGUCUAAACCAACGUUUUGAGAAUUUCCGCAAAGUACUAUGUUGAUUAUCCAGACUAUUAUCAUAAAUAAGUACCCAGUCACCUUCCUCGAUUGCUUUUGGUCUCAAUCGAUGUUGCUUAUCGAAUCGCGCCUUGUUUUGUAACCUUGUUCUUUUUAACCUUUCCAAUGCUAUCUGGACAUCUUUCGUUCUUUGCUCCAAUUGUCGAAUCCUAAUAGCUAGAAGUUCUUCUCUUGUCAAUCCAUCUUCCCAUGGUAGCAUACUCCAAGUAAGUACCUUUUCUUCAAUCGGUAUAAUUGGUUUUUGACCUGUCAUAAGUUUUACUGGCAUAUAUCCUGUCACCGAACUAUGUGUUGUUCGAUCAGCCCAUAAUGCAAAUAACAAAAGCCGUGGCCACUCUUUAACUUUCCCAUUACAAGCUUUAACCAAUGCUUUCACAAUCUGUGGGUGACCACGUUCGCUUUUUGCAUUCCCUUCUGGAUUAUAAGCAGUAGUCAGUGAUAGUUUAACUCCACAUUUUUCAAAGAACUUACGAGCUUCUUCUGUAUUUAAUUCUUCACGAUGUGCAGUGAUUUUUCCUACGCCCCCGUAACGGCAAAUGACAUCUUCAAGCAAAAACCUACAAAUCUCCUCUAUAGAUUUUGUCCUCAAUGCUCUUCCUUCUACUUGAUUUGAUAAAUCUUCACGAGCUAAAACCAAAUAUCUCAUCUGCCAUAACCCAACCGGCAUAAUAACCAAAUCAACAACCCAUUUAAAAUGAAUAGCCAGAGGAUACGUAGGAUGAAGACCAUCUCGAUGUCGGAUAUUAGAAUACGAUUGACAAAUUUCACAUGACUCUACAAAUGAGAGCACAUCUCGAUACAUAUUUUUCCACCAAUAUCGUUCCUUGAGUUUAGCAAAAGUAGCCCAGAUUCCUCUAUGCCCUGCCCAUAAACUAUCAUGAAACUCCUUUAAUAAUUUUAGUUUUUCUUCCCUUUUGCCUAUCACUCGUUGUCGCAUCUCAAUUCCUUUCUUCGGUCUCUUCCAUAAGAAUCCAUCUCGAAGUAAAAAUCCAUAUGCUUUUUUUCUUAUUUGUUUGAACUUUUUUGUAGACCAAUUCCCCUGCUUAGACAAGGUAUUCAAAUAAUGAUCAAUAUCUAAUAAUUCUCCUUCAUAAGAUUAUUCAAGAAAUAGCUUGUCUUCUCUGUUGAGAUUUGAUAUUGAAUAGAAUUUCAAUCCGACAUCAUCAAUGUCUUCAACCAUUUCGUCCUCCCUCUCGUAUCUUGCUCGAGAUAGCAUGUCUGCUACUAAAUUGUCCUUUCCAGUGAUAUGCUUAAAUUCUGGAUUUAGUGACUUAAUAUAAGCAAUCCAUCUCAACAUUGCAAUAUCUGGCGUUGAACAGUUAAUAAUCAUUCCAAGCAAUGGCAAGCAAUCUGUUUCAAUUACUACUACUGUCCCAAUCAAAUAGUCCUUUUCAGCUUUCAUAGCCAAAACGACUCCCCAAAGUUCUCUUUUGACUUGCGAAUAUGCACGCUGACGAAUACUUAAAACUUUAGCCCCAAAUUGAACUGCAAAUCUACUCCCAUUCGAAUCAUCUUGAUCCACAGCCCAUCCAACGGCAAUUGGACUAACGUCUACAGUAAGAAUGACUGAUCUAUUGCACUUAUAAUCAACCUUCCUCAAUAUUAGAGGUGACAUCAAUAAUUUCUUCAAUCUUUGCAUUGCUUGAAUAUGCCUUUCUUCCCAUUUAAAUCGGUAACCCUUGCGUAACAGUUCAUAUAAUGGAUCUACUAUGUGAGCAAAAUGAGGGAUCCAGAUUCGAUAAAAUACACAUGCACCCAAAAACCUGUGAAUCUCUGUUAAAGAAUUACAAUCCUCUUUCAUCCUUCCAAUUGCAUCAACUUUAGUCGGAUCUGGUUAUCUUCCGUAGGAUCCACAUAAAUGUCUAACAAUUACAACCUCUCGUACUCCAAAUACGGACUUCAUACCCGAUAAUGUAAGAUGAACUUCUCCAAGCCGAGUUAAAAUCUUUUCACAAUCUUGUAUAUGAUCAACAACAUAUCUGCGACACCCCCUCGCAUCUAAAGUUUCAUCCUUGUCUCCUUCUCUGCACCCUUUUAUAGGAACAUCAUCUAGAAAAGGCAUAGUCUUUUCUGGCAUAAAAUCUCUCAAUACCUUAUUCAUCCCAUUCAUCAUAUGCGCAAUUGAGUUAGUCGCGCCUUGAGGAAGAGUGCACAUUCUAACCAAUCCAAGCGGUGUCCUCAUCGUUGUCAUAUCUUUACUUCCUUCGGCAAGUUGAAAUUGAUCAUAACCUGAAUACAAAUCACCCAUUGAAUAGAUCGCCCUUCCAGCAAACGCCUCAGCAAAUUCAUCCACAAUAGGUCCAAUUCCUGCAUUUCUGAUAAUUACAGCAUUCACCGACUGCAUAUCUUGAAUAAACCGUAGUGACUCAUUCUUCUUAGGUACCGUAAACCAUCGACUAGAAUACGGUGCAAAUGAAGGUUCUAAUAUUUUCAUCUUUAUCUUUUCUUUCAAUAGUUCCACCAAUUUAGAUAAAUGUGCCCUCGGUACUGGAAUCGGUCUUAGAUUCCAAGGUACAUGCGGUACAGUGAAGAUAACUAUAGGUGUUAUAAUAUUUGGAUCCACACACCCAAUUUCAUGAGAUUCGAAGGCAAACGAUCUACCUUGUUUAGCCAACAUCUUUUUGAAGCAAGUAAUUUCCUCCAGCAAUAAAGAACCAUCAGAACCAAUCUUUAAUUCUUCAAAAGUCUCUUCAGUAAACUGAUGUCCAAUACUCAUUGGAUCUCUUAAACUUGCUUCUUUUGAUGCUUCUUCCAUUUGUUCUUUAGAAUCCUCUGGUAAUGGUCUGGCAACAGGCUUUACCUUCUUAUCUGCCGUUUUAUAUCUCGUCUCUACUGUGACUUCUGGUGCUUGAAAAGAUUCAAGCAUGGUAUAAACCUCUCUCGAAUGAAUCUCAACAAUCUUAUCAUUAUCCCCUAACCCAAUAGAUGUAAUCAAUUCCAAUGAAUCUUCCAGUCCAUUUUCUUCAUAAACACCUAAAAUCCUCUCAUCAUCUUGCAAUGUACCUAUCUUGCGUAACUGUCCUUCAAUAUUAUAUAAUCUUUUUCUUUCUGUUCUUUUAAAAUUAUCAACUUUCUUAUACAUAAUAUUUCCAUUCUCCAAUAUACCAAUAAAACUCGCAUCAAAGGCACCUUCAUCUCGCGAGAGUACCUCCUCUUUUGUACCUCCAUAAUCUCGCUUUACAGUGGUACCUCUCCAAAAUCCUUAAAUCCUUCAACAAUCUUUGGCAAUGGUUUCUCCCUCAACCUAUCUCGAUUCCGUUCAUGGUUAGGAGGUACUAUUAGAAAUUCUAUAGCUUUCCUCCCAUCUUCGCUCCGUACCCUUGCAUAAGCAGAACCAUCGUCAAGUACCUUUGUUUCCAUCCGUGUUGCCGUGAUAUAAGGUUGUCCUAAAAUCAACGGAUAAGACGUUGUAUCUUGAACGAAGAAAUGUUGCUCCGUCGCAACAUCCCCAAUCCGAAUUUUGACAUCUGGAUAAGCUCCAUAUAAUUCGCCUCGUGUGUUAUUAGCUGCUCGUAUUGCCCAUCCAUGUUCCAUAUCAAUUGGCCAUUUUUGCUUCUUAUAAAGAUCUUUAGACAUGAGAUUUAUUUCAGAACCAUGGUCCACCAAGGCAACUAAUGGUUCUUCUAUAUCUCCUACCUUCACCAAUACCUCAGUAGUUGCCCUUGCCCAAUGCUUUCGAGUAUAAUGGCUCCAGGUUUCCAUUUCCUUGUCACUAGAAUCUUCGAAACGUACUCGUUGAUUAUACCUAUUCUUUUCAUUUGUUCAUUGCUUGUAAGCAAUAUCAACCUCUUCUUCAUCUCUACAUAUUCUUGCAUCAAUAGCAUGGCUCAUUCUAGUUUCGCUCAUUAAUUGCCUCUUUCGUUUAAUGCUGUCAAUGAUAACAUCAUGAAACUCCUUCUUUGUAAUUUCCAAAACUUCUUUCAAUGUGAAUUCCACCUUAGCGUUUAAUAUACGUUCUUCCAACACCCCUUUCAAAUUUGUUGCCGCUUCAAUGUCAGAAAGUAGCUUAUAAGCAAUUGAUUUGCCCUUAUCUUUUGUCUUUGUUGUUUUUUCUCCCAAUGAUGCUGAGGUGUCCUUUACAGGCAAUUCUUGUGAAGCUGCCUCCCGAGCCUUGUCUCCUCGAGUUUGCCUCUUAAAAGAAUUUCCUUCUCUAGUAUCAUCAAAAUUUCCUCGUCUUUUUUCUUCCAUCAAAGCUUCAUGUUGGCUCUUAGCAAUAUAUGCAUGAACUGAAAGAGACUCAACAAGAUCCUCCCAACCUGUUCUUCCUCGUAUUGUAGCUGCAGUUCUCAAUAAUGCUUCUC
rnacentral:lncRNA from 1 species